rnacentral:rRNA from 1 species
AUUGAACGCUGGCGGCAUGCCUUUACACAUGCAAGUCGAACGGCAGCACGGGAGGCAAUCCUGGUGGCGAGUGGCGAACGGGUGAGUAAUGUAUCGGAACGUACCUUUCAGUGGGGGAUAACGUAGCGAAAGUUACGCUAAUACCGCAUAUUCUGUGAGCAGGGAAAGCAGGGGAUCGCAAGACCUUGCGCUGAUUGAGCGGCCGAUAUCAGAUUAGCUAGUUGGUGAGGUAAAGGCUCACCAAGGCGACGAUCUGUAGCGGGUCUGAGAGGAUGAUCCGCCACACUGGAACUGAGACACGGUCCA